rnacentral:rRNA from 1 species
UACGGGGGGAGCAAGCGUUGUUCGGAAUUACUGGGCGUAAAGGGCUCGUAGGCGGCCAACUAAGUCAGACGUGAAAUCCCCAGGCUUAACCUGGGAACUGCGUCUGAUACUGGAUGGCUUGAAUUCGGGAGAGGGAUGCAGAAUUCCAGGUGUAGCGGUGAAAUGCGUAGAUAUCUGGAGGAAUACCGGUGGCGAAGGCGGCAUCCUGGACCGAGAUUGACGCUGAUGAGCGAAAGCUAGGGGAGCAAACGGG